GGGCGCUUGGUCUAGGGGUAUGAUUUUCGCUUCGCAUCUACUUCUGAGCUCUCUCGAGAGCUACAGAUCCGCUACUUGUGUUUGUGAAAGGUCGUGGGUUCAAUUCCCACAGUGUCCA
rnacentral:tRNA from 1 species